UUCUAUUAGAACUAAUUAAUAGUCCCCUCUCCUCCCUGAAUAUUAAAUACCCCCCAUAGUGCUUAGGUAGCAAAAUCCUUAGUCUUUUAAAUAAACACCAGUCCCAAAGAUUUAACAUUUUAAUUAAUUUAUUCUAAUUAAUUUAUUUAAUUUAUCCUAAAUGUAAAAAGACAUUUAUUCUAAAGAUAGACGAUAAGACCCUAUUGAACUUAACUUAAGUUUAACUGGGGCAGUUAAUUAAAAAUUAUUUUAAUUAAAAUAAAACAAAAAUUGACCCAAUAAAAUUGAUUAAAUAAUCAAGUUACCAUAGGGAUAACAGCACAAUAUAAUACCAAAGAUCUUAUAAAAAAUUCCAUUUGUGACCUCGAUGUUGAAUAAUAUUCUAUAUUACGCAAUAGUUAUACUAGAUAGGCUGUUCGACUAUUAAACAAUUACA
rnacentral:rRNA from 1 species